GACGAACGCUGGCGGCGUGCUUAACACAUGCAAGUCGAACGGAAAGGCCCUGCUUUUGUGGGGUGCUCGAGUGGCGAACGGGUGAGUAACACGUGAGUAACCUGCCCUUGACUUUGGGAUAACUUCAGGAAACUGGGGCUAAUACCGGAUAGGAGCUCCUGCUGCAUGGUGGGGGUUGGAAAGUUUCGGCGGUUGGGGAUGGACUCGCGGCUUAUCAGCUUGUUGGUGGGGUAGUGGCUUACCAAGGCUUUGACGGGUAGCCGGCCUGAGAGGGUGACCGGCCACAUGGGGACUGAGAGACGGCCCAGACUCCUACGGGAGGAAGCAGGGGGGAAUAUGGCACAAGGGGCGGAAGCAUGAUGCAGCAACGCCGCGUGCGGGAGGACGGCCUUCGGGUUGUAAACCGCUUUCGCCUGUGACGAAGCGUGAGUGACGGGAAUGGGUAAAGAAGCACCGGCGAACUACGG
rnacentral:rRNA from 1 species